ACAUAUAUUUCCUUAUCUUUUAAGUUUUAUAUGUUUUAGCAUAGGAAAUUGGGCCAAACUUUGUAGCAAAUUAACAACACUCCCAACUUUCAAAAAAAAAAAAAAUGUGAUAGACAAACAUGAAUGUGUUUUCAUCUUUGUGUGGAAGAACUAGAAAUUAUAUACAUGGGUUCUAAUGUUAAAAAUUAAUACUGAAAUCAGGAUGGUGAGCUUUUUUCUUCAGACUUUUGUUCUGUUGUUAAAGGGGCUGUCUCACGUAUGAUAGAAUAGCGAAAGAAAAAAAAAUGUUGAAAACUGACAUAAACUUGGCAUCGAUGUGUACAAUGCGUUGAAGCUUACUAACUGAAGUACCACAUAGUUUACAAUUUAUUUAAGUUUAGCAGUUAUUUCGUAUUUUUCCAUUAAAAAAGAUUACUGGGUAUGUCAACCAGGUUGAAUUCAUUCCUUAUGGGUGAUUGGCUAGUCAUUGUUAUCACGUGAUAUUAACGAGGUAGGUGUAUAGCUUAAUUAUGUCACCCGAUUAGUAUAAGCCUUUGUAGCUCAGUGAGUAAGACGCUGGACUUCAAUUUUGGCGACGCAGGUUCAAACCCGGUCUUUGACACAAUUUUUUUUUUACAUUUUGGUACUUUUUUUACAAUUAUGAUAUCAAAGCGUAACACAUUCUAUUAGAUAAUUGUCCUGAGAUUCGUUACAGAAAAAAACUUUUUUUGGUGCCAAUCUGUGACACAGUCCCUUUAAGAUUGCUUUUUGAUCCUGAAGACAAUUGCAUCAGACAGUAAGAAGUACCUUAAAUGGGAUCUUAGCCCCUUGACCCUGCUUUUGGCAUGAAUCCCUCAUCCUCAAACAGACCCCUGGCUAUUUUCAGGAUUUGCAGCUUUAUAUACAAAAACACACUGGAAAGGUUUUUGUUUCCCAAGUUGGACCUUUCAGGGGACUGAAAAUAAGCUACUCAAGUCUUUAUAUUUUUUGGUAAUUGGCCUGUAAAUGUAUGCAGUUCUUGCUUUCAGACAACAUCUUGUUACAGGCUUAUAAUUGCCUCUAAGCAUUUGUUGUUUUGCUGUUAUUGUCAAAACACAUGUUUGGGUUAGAAUAAUGGCUUUGUUCUUACUUGUCAUUCAUGAACAUAAGAUGUGCCAGACUCCAAGCUGUAAAGUAUAUUUAUCCUAUUGAUCUUUAGGGCCACGUUCAUAGUAGGCACAUCAGAUCGUUACUACAAAUGAUUACACGGUGAUUCAGUCGAAAUAAUGCGCUCUUUGAAGGCUUGAAUACACAUGACAUCUUUAAACUUCAACAAAUCUGAAUUGAUGUAUAGUAAUGUACACUUGAACUCGUACAUUUUGCAUAUCCCUGAAAAUGCAGCUUAAAAAAUCACAAAAUGAAUACAACAUAUUUAUACGCAACCGCUCGAAAACGGCGAAAACCCAAGUGUAUUGUUACAGGUGUAAGUCGGUUAUAAGAAGUAGUUACCAUAAUUGAUUAAUCGAUUCCAAACAAUUCUAAAAUUUCCUUAAAAAUGAAAUGAUAUGUAAACACUAUUUCACUGAUCAAUAAACAAACGAACGAAGUGAAUGCCUUUUGGAAACCGUAUAUCGAUAAAGUAUAUUAUACAGAUUACUCCGCUUGUAUUUAGCAUAGAUUUUAGUCAUUUCACUUAUCGAUCGUCGCCAUUUUGUAAGCGCCCUGCCUAAGAGUGUCUCAUGGACUUCAGCUGGAAUAAAUGUGUAUUGUAAGUAUUUUAUAAUCAGAUUGUUACACAUGAAUGGCUCUACGUGUGCGUGGUAUGACAGUUAUUGAAAUUGCUUCAUUAUUUACACUGUAUAUUCACCUGUCAAUGUGCGUUGUUUAUGUGCGUGACCUACAUUAAUUGAGAGGCCUAAAUCAUGAACAUGCGUGUUUAUUCUAUUAUUAAAUUUGUUUGGAUUAGGAUGUGAAUUUGUGUAGUUCAUCUAGCUAAUUUUGAUGACGUAUAUUAUGCUUUCCUCAAUUUAUGCAUUCGUGCCGUUCGUGGCUCACCGGUCCUACUAAACACUGCACACACAGUCUCGUGACCUACUAAGUAGUUGUAGGAAUGUACUGUAGUCGAUUGUAAUAAUCUCCCCUUAUUAAUCUCAUGAAUAUUAAUUUUCCACGGAAGGCGACCAUAUGCUGGUACCGGUUUUAUACACCCAUUAAAACACAUAUAUAUCAACAUUUUGCGGAGAACCAUGUGGCUAUUUAUAGCUAAAAUUAGUUGUUGAAAUAUUCUGGGAUCCAGUCAGAGUUCACUGAAAACUAACUGAAAACGUGUUUUUUCUAAAAGAAAAACGAAAGUGAAAAUUUGAUUAAAUGUUUUUUUCAUAUUUUAAGGCAAGUACAAAGGAUUAUUUGGUUUGUUUUUAAGCAUGGGAGGGGUCUCUCAUAGCUUUUUAUCACUUUUGAUACAAAAACAACUGGACUAUGAACGUUCUUAGACCAUUUAUAGACUUUGCUAAAAUGUAAACAAAAAUCCAAAAUGGCUGCCGCGAAGUGAAACUUCAGUUUUCACUAAGUCAGAUGUUUGAUGAUUAAUGCAUGAAACAGUAAUGUUGCUGACAGCUUCAAACUGCAAGUACACCUUGUGUAAAUAGAUGUAAACAUUAAGAAUGAAUACAUUUUAUGUCUAUUCUUUAAAUAUUUGUAAAAAAACGUUCUCAAAUAUGUUUACAGUAUGUAAUAAAUACGUGUUUAUGUAAAAUAAAGCCCAAGAAAAAUGCCAGAUUUAGGUUACAUCAGUAGUUUUCAGACUGAAACGUGAUAUUGGGUUCAUCUUCAAGUGUUGGCUUUGAAGCACCUGUCAUGAGCAGCUUUUGGUCGUGGAGGAACACUUAAAAGUUGAACCCAUCAAUUUAAACUGUUAUGCCAGAGAUGUGUUAAUUGAGUAUGUUGUAUAGGCUAUAAGGGCAUCAAUGAUUGUUUGUUUGGGUAGACCUUGUUGUUGAUUGAUUUAUUUUCCUUUCUUAUUAUUUUAAACAGACCCGGGAGGAACUGUAAAGAACCAGCCAGGCAGCCGCCCGCCAAGCUGCCCACCCGGCCGAGCUGUACUUGGUGUAUGCCAACAUGCCGACAUGGUGUAAUUUGUUAGUACUUUAAGAACAUGCAAUGGAAAAUGUAUCCAAACUGAAGUAUAAAGCAAAAGAAAUAAAAAGUGAGCCGCUUUCAUAAAGAUUAGAGCCAAUCUUCAAGGACAAGAACCAGUGCUGGUAUGUGGUCUCAUGUGGUUUUCCAUACCGGCUCUCAGCAAGGAUUUCAUAGAAAGGAAUACCGUCUCCAUAUCAUGAUGUGCUAAUAAGCUCCAGUUAGCUGCGCCUUUUUCCUCCCGGCAGCAGUCCUGCAACCUGAAUCCAGGAGAUGCAGCUCUGAAUCCAAUAUUUCAGAAGAAUGAAGAUUAUGUGUUGCAUAUAGCCUGAAGAUGAACUAUAGGAGUUUUGAAGUCUGUUUCUGAAAAACUGUUGCUUAAAUAGGCUCAAGACCACAGUUAUCAGUCAUAUAGAAAACUGAAGCCUUCAGGAAGUCAACGCGGCCAUGAUAUUGAUUUACUCAGCUGUGAUGUAACAUGCCUUCAAGCCACUAUUCGAAGAACAUUCAGACGUUCUAAAUGGACCAUUGCCCUGUUGCCAUGGAAAUCAUUAUGAGGAGGAGCACACAAACUGUCACUUGUUUUGAAUACCAGAUGUACCACAAACUUACCAUAAACUUUUCGGAUGCUCUGUUUAUUUCAUCAGCCAAUUUCAAUGUAUAUUUUACUGAAUAACGACAAACAAUCUUUAUUAACGAUGCUCAGCUCUUACUCAUAAGCAUCUCUUACUCAUCCGUAUUCCACAACUAAACAUGCUUGCAAUUACACUGUACCAUCUAUCAUAAUAUAGCAAUGCUGCAAUUACCACAUUUUUUGUACCAGUUGUUGCUUUAUACUGAAACUUUUAUUGAAAAUGGUGCAUAAACACUGAUAACCCAUAAAUGUUUCAUUCAUAUAUUUGUACAUGUUCUUUCAGUGUAUAUGUUGAUAAUGUUGAUACAUUUUUCAUGUGCAUUUACACAUGUGUUUAUUGCCAACCUCAUCAAAACAUGCAUAGUUUGCUCACAUGCUCACAUACAUAUUUCCAACACAGACAUUUACUGAAUGUAUUAAUUACUACUUUACGUUGAUUUUGAUAUGUAAAUACAACAUUGUACUACUCGUUUGUACAAAACGCUUUUCAUUUGCUAUGUUGUUUGUUUCCAUGUUCUGUCUGCAUGCAGAUGGUAUUUUCAUAUCAAUUUUAAGCUUAACUAUUCGUAGAAUAUGGAGAGCUAUACUUCUCACCCAAGCCCCGGCGUCAGCGUCACACCUUGGUUAUUUAAUCCAAAUAAUAGGACUUUAUUAUUCGACUUAGAAAUUCUGGUUAAGGUUUUGCGUACAAGCACACAUAGGUUAAUAUCUCAGCAGCUACUUGAGGUAUUGCAUUGAGACUUGUUGCAAUGGUACUCAACCAUCCAACCUAUAAAUUAACCAAGUAAGGUAACUUGACUUUGCAUUUAAUGCAAAAGAUAGGCCUUUAUUAUUCGACUUAGAUAUUCUGAUUAAGGUUUUGUGAGCAAGCACACAUUAUAUAAAUAUCAAAGCAACUACUUCAUGUAUUGCAUUGAGACUCAUACAAUUGUACUCAACCAUCAAACUUCCCCAUGUAAGAUAGCUCUAGUUUCAUUUAAUGCAAAUAAUUGCCCUUUAUUAUUCAACAUAGAAAUUUUGGUUAAGGUUUUGCGUGUAAGCACACAUAGGUAAAUUUCCCAGCAACUACUCGAUGUAUUGCAUUGAGACUUUAUAGAAUGGUAUUUAACCACUCAAUGUAAUUGAAUAACCAAGAUAUAUAACUGUAAUUUGCAAAUAAUUGCCCUUUAUUAUUAGACUUAAACAUUCUGGUGACAUUUAUGUUAAUAUCUCACCACAUGAAUUGCAUUGAAAUCUUAUCUAACAGUGAACCAUGCAUGUUUCGCCAAAACUUUUCAAUCCUUACAUUGAAAAGCGGCUGAAUAGUCGAGCCCGCUGUCUCUGUGACAGCUCUUGUUCAACAUUUAGGUGAUGUUCAUUUCCAUUGUGAAACUUAUCCCUUGGGAACAAUAUUAACAUCUUUUAGCAUACAUGCCUGGAUGAGUUUUAAAAAAUGACCAUAAUAUGCAUACUUACUGCAUGAAAAUAUACAAUGGCAUACAUUUCAUAUCAACUUGUGUAUCUGUAUUUCUCUUUCAACUACUUCAAAAUAACAAACGUCCCAACCCUAAAAUGUUCAAACAUAUUCUACAUACAUUAUUUUUAUCUUGCACUGUAUAUAUAUGUUCUAUAUGUAUAUAUCACGCCUAAUAAAAUUGAAGCCUGUCAACUAGUACGUUGUUGUGAAACAUAUGAACCCCACCUCUCAACUUCCCUGUGUGUUCCUAUCAAUUUGUUUCUGAAAUUCCUGUCAUCAUUUAAAUAAAUUGCUUACUUUCUCGAAGCCACCGUUCCUCAGCGCUUUCAGCGCUUUGAUUUGAAUUGCAGCAUAAGACGUAUUGUUUUAAUGACGCAAAUGGAAUUCCUUGAAGAAGUUUCUUUUCACUUCUCAUGUUUGAUAUUUAUUUAUUUACAUCCAUUGAGAUAAGAAUAGAAGUAGACAUCGGGUUCUUGUAUUAAGGUGACAAUAUAAUGUUUGCUCACUUUCAAAAAUAGACCUGGCCCCAAUUAUUCAAAAUAUUUAAAACCAGAUUACUAAGCUCACUACAUUUGUUUUUAACAAUAUGUUUAAUUUAAUCAUUCAUCAGACUUUUUAGAUUUUAAAAGGAAAUUAUGAUUGUGAUUA